UACUUUGACAUUUCAUAUUUCUGGACCC
rnacentral:piRNA from 1 species